rnacentral:rRNA from 1 species
CACGGGGGGAGCAAGCGUUGUUCGGAUUUACUGGGCGUAAAGGGCGCGUAGGCGGCCACUGCAAGUCAGUUGUGAAAUCUCCGGGCUUAACCCGGAAAGGUCAACUGAUACUGCAGGGCUAGAGUGCAGAAGGGGCAACUGGAAUUCUCGGUGUAGCGGUGAAAUGCGUAGAUAUCGAGAGGAACACCUGCGGCGAAGGCGGGUUGCUGGGCUGACACUGACGCUGAGGCGCGAAAGCCAGGGGAGCGAACGGG